UUUACUGUAGCCUGAUAUUGAAUUUUGGUACAGCUUGUACAGGAUAGGUAGGAGCCUGAGAAACCGGAGCGCCAGCUUCGGUGGAGGCGUCGGUGGAUACUACCCUGGCUGUAUUGAAAUUCUAACCCUCACCCCUGAUCGGGGUGGGAGACAGUGUCAGGUGGGCAGUUUGACUGGGGCGGUCGCCUCCUAAAGAGUAACGGAGGCGCCCAAAGGUUCCCUCAGAAUGGUUGGAAAUCAUUCGCAGAGUGUAAAGGCACAAGGGAGCUUGACUGCGAGACCUACAAGUCGAGCAGGGACGAAAGUCGGGCUUAGUGAUCCGGUGGUUCCGCAUGGAAGGGCCAUCGCUCAACGGAUAAAAGCUACCCCGGGGAUAACAGGCUUAUCUCCCCCAAGAGUCCACAUCGACGGGGAGGUUUGGCACCUCGAUGUCGGCUCAUCGCAUCCUGGGGCUGUAGUCGGUCCCAAGGGUUGGGCUGUUCGCCCAUUAAAGCGGUACGCGAGCUGGGUUCAGAACGUCGUGAGACAGUUCGGUCCCUAUCCGUCGUGGGCGCAGGAAAUUUGAGAGGAGCUGUCCUUAGUACGAGAGGACCGGGAUGGACGCACCGCUGGUGUACCAGUUGUCUUGCCAAAGGCAUCGCUGGGUAGCUAUGUGCGGACGGGAUAAGUGCUGAAAGCAUCUAAGCAUGAAGCCCCCCUCAAGAUGAGAUUUCCCAUAGCGUCAAGCUAGUAAGAACCCUGAAAGAUGAUCAGGUUGAUAGGUCAGAGGUGGAAGCGUGGUAACAUGUGGAGCUGACUGAUACUAAUCGUUCGAGGACUUAACCAA
rnacentral:rRNA from 1 species